AAAAUUAAUUACAUUUUUCAAAAGGCCUGAAAAUUAAGGAUUACCAUUGCAUUACAGGUGUGCUGGCCCCUGUCAUUUUCCCAAAUGUGGGAAACCUGACUGCAUAAUUUGUGCUAAUGGGGGACUGCGUUCGCACUCUCCCU
rnacentral:snRNA from 1 species